UACGUAGGGCGCGAGCGUUGUCCGGAAUCAUUGGGCGUAAAGAGCUCGUAGGCGGCCGGUUGGCGUCUGCUGUGAAAUCCCGGGGCGUUAACCCCGGGCGUGCAGUGGAUACGGGCUGGCUGGAGGCAGGCAGGGGAGAAUGGAAUUCCCGGUGUAGCGGUGAAAUGCGCAGAUAUCGGGGAGGAACACCGGUGGCGAAGGCGGUUCUCUGGGCCUGUGCUGACGC
rnacentral:rRNA from 1 species